rnacentral:rRNA from 1 species
GACGAACGCUGGCGGCGUGCUUAACACAUGCAAGUCGAACGGAAAGGCCCUGCUUUUGUUGCUUUCUCGAUUGCCGAGCGGGGGAGUAACACAUGAGUAACCUGCCCUUAACUUUGGGGUAACUCCAGGAAACUGGGGCUCAUACCGGGGAUAAUCUCCUGCUCCAUAUUGUGGGUUGGAAAGUUUCGGCGGUUGGGGAUGGACUCGCGGCUUAUCAGCUUGUUGGUGGGGUAGGGGCUGACCAAGGGUUUGACGGGUAGCCGGCCUGAGAGGGGUACCGGCCACAUUGGGACUGCGAUACGGCGCAGAAUCCUACGGGAGGCAGCAGUGGGGAACCUUGCACAAUGGGCGGAAGCCUGAUGCAGAAACGCCGCGUGCGGGAUGACGGCUUUCGGGUUGUAAACAGAUUUCGAAUGUGAUGAAGAGUGCGUGACGGUAAUGGGUAAAGAAGCACCGGCUAACUACGUG